CACGCCGUAAACGAUGUCGACUAGCCGUUGGGAUCCUUGAGAUCUUAGUGGCGCAGCUAACGCAUUAAGUCGACCGCCUGGGGAGUACGGCCGCAAGGUUAAAACUCAAAUGAAUUGACGGGGGCCCGCACAAGCGGUGGAGCAUGUGGUUUAAUUCGAAGCAACGCGAAGAACCUUACCUGGCCUUGACAUGCUGAGAACUUUCCAGAGAUGGAUUGGUGCCUUCGGGAACUCAGACACAGGUGC
rnacentral:rRNA from 1 species